UUCCAGCCCUGAUGGCAGCGGUUACCCCGCAGCAGGCAUUGAAAUGCUUUGACUAAGCUGAGGCGGCAGCCUGGGGUGAGGAGUAUGAGCGGAUAGCAGGAUGAAGC
rnacentral:misc_RNA from 1 species